GAAAGCCCUAUGAUGGGAAACUACCACGUUAGGUUUGGAGAGAGAUGGGACGGUUAUAGUUUAGGGGAGCAGAUGCUAGCUUUUUCUUUCCAUAGCCGGCCAAAUAACUACCGGAUCAUCGGUCUACUCUAC
rfam:Ananas comosus cultivar MD2 ACMD2_Scaffold_5975, whole genome shotgun sequence.